GCAUCAGUGGUUCAGUGGUAGAAUUCUUGCCUUCCAUGCAGGAGACCCAGAUUUGAUUCCCUGCCAAUGCA
rnacentral:tRNA from 1 species